GCCGGAGGCAGAGGCGGCUCCGCGGGGAACGCCGCGGAACGCGGAGCUGCGCAGAACCGAGCCACAGCACCACGGGCUGGCAGCGCUUCCAAAGGCAGGGGCUGGCGCGCUGUACUGCACCUGAGCGGGAAAAAAUCCCUCAGUUUUGAUGAGAAUUAGGCAAGAGCGAGGAUCACUGCACGGAUCACUACCAGAGAGGGUUUUCCCGUUUCCGGAGCAGGCUCGGCUCCAGCGGAUUCCCGGCGGCGGAGGCCAGGUGCCUGGAAGGAGCCGCAGCGUUAGCAGCCUCGCCGCCCAACUUCUCCCUCAAGGAAUCGCCCAUGCUCCCGGCUGCUCCUGGGAGCGAGGAGCGCAGCCCCUUCAUGCCGGCGCCAGCCCCGGCUGCCACCCGACCCACGGGCGAGAAGCAUGUCCGAUGACAGCCUGCUCCUGAGGCAAUGUAGGCUAGCUGCCAGAAUACUGGUGAAAAUACUUGCAGAAAAAAUGGGGACCUCUGCCAUCACAACACUGGAAGAUGUAAAAAGGCAAGAGGAGAAAGAGGAGAAAGAGGAAUCUAUUCUAGCACUGCUUGGGAUUGUUGGAACUGUGCUCAAUUUAUUUGUUAUUGUUUUUGUGUACAUCUACACUACACUUUGAUGGCAUUUUUGAACAUCGAGCGUAGAGCAUACAGUGCUGAGACCGGCGACAGCAGGAAGGAUUUCUAUAUUUAACGAAAAAAAGAAAGAAAAAUACACCGAAGAGAUUGUCAAACACAUUCCAGAGCAGAGUAGCUGGCUAAGGGCACUGCAUCAAUGACUGCUAAAUAUAUCCGAGAGCCCAGUUCGGGUGCUAAAUUAUGUAAAUGAAGGCAGGCAAUAUUCAACUUCACACUGAUGACAGAUGACGACCAAAUAGUGGGAAGGCAGAUGGCACCGUUUCAUGGCCAGCGAACACACGAGACAAGAGACGGACGCAGACAAACACCCAGAACAAUCACAACAAAAAGAAGAGACGGAUUAGAUAAAUAUAUAAAUGUAUGUAUCAGCCCGUGAUGCUUCCUAUAGUUUUGUGUAACAUGUCUCUGUAUAUCUGAGACCAUAAARCAAAGCAAAAAGAAAGGAUUUUAUUUUUAGAUUGCUACAAUAUAGGCUUCCAAUUUACACAAACCUAUAGUAAGUGUGGAAACAGAAGCACUGCUAUACCAAAAAUUGUAAUACUACAAGUAAARUUUUAACUCUUGAUUAUAUUCUGCAGCAUUUGUUAGUCUUGUAGAAAGCUGAGAAAGGUUAGAUAUUCUUGCCUUUACUGAAUCUGUAUUUGAAAUAAUAAUGCUAUACUAAUGAUGUGCUUUUCUAAUUAAAAAUCCUYUAAAAGUGGUGUGAAAAAUAAAAUAGUUUUAGUACUUUUCAGAUUUAUUCAAAAUUACA